rnacentral:piRNA from 1 species
UGGGAUUAAAGGUGUGCACCAUAAUGCCAA